GAUGAACGCUGGCGGCGUGCCUAAUACAUGCAAGUCGAGCGAACAGACGAGGAGCUUGCUCCUCUGAUGUUAGCGGCGGACGGGUGAGUAACACGUGGAUAACCUACCUAUAAGACUGGGAUAACUUCGGGAAACCGGAGCUAUACCGGAUAACAUGUUGAACCGCAUGGUUCAACAGUGAAAGACGGUCUUGCUGUCACUUAUAGAUGGAUCCGCGCCGCAUUAGCUAGUUGGUAAGGUAACGGCUUACCAAGGCAACGAUGCGUAGCCGACCUGAGAGGGUGAUCGGCCACACUGGAACUGAGACACGGUCCAGACUCCUACGGGAGGCAGCAGUAGGGAAUCUUCCGCAAUGGGCGAAAGCCUGACGGAGCAACGCCGCGUGAGUGAAGAAGGUCUUCGGAUCGUAAAACUCUGUUAUUAGGGAAGAACAAAUGUGUAAGUAACUAUGCACGUCUUGACGGUACCUAAUCAGAAAGCCACGGCUAACUACGUG
rnacentral:rRNA from 1 species